GACGAACGCUGGCGGCGUGCCUAACACAUGCAAGUCGAACGUGAAAGUCCUUCGGGAUGAGUAAAGUAGGCGCACGGGUGAGUAACACGUAGGUGACCUACCUUUUAGUAGGGGAAUAACCAGAUGAAAAUUUGGCUAAUGCCGCAUACGAAGUACAAAUAUAAUAGUAGUACUUGAAAGAAUGCCUCUGUAUAUGCAUUCACUAUUAGAUGGGCCUGCGGGACAUUAGCUAGUUGGUGAGGUAAAGGCUCACCAAGGCGACGAUCCGUAGCUGGUCUGAGAGGAUGAUCAGCCACACUGGGACUGAGACACGGCCCAGACUCCUACGGGAGGCAGCAGUGGGGGAAUAUUGGACAAUGGGGCGAAAGCCUGAUCCAGCAAUGCGCGUGAGUGAUGAAGGCC
rnacentral:rRNA from 1 species